rnacentral:rRNA from 1 species
AGUGAACGCUGGCGGUAGGCCUAACACAUGCAAGUCGAACGGCAGCACAGUAAGAGCUUGCUCUUACGGGUGGCGAGUGGCGGACGGGUGAGGAAUACAUCGGAAUCUACUUUUUCGUGGGGGAUAACGUAGGGAAACUUACGCUAAUACAGCAUACGACCUACGGGUGAAAGCAGGGGAUCUUCGGACCUUGCGCGAUUGAAUGAGCCGAUGUCGGAUUAGCUAGUUGGCGGGGUAAAGGCCCACCAAGGCGACGAUUCGUAGCUGGUCUGAGAGAAUGAUCAGCCACACUAGAGCUGGGACACGGUCCAGGGUACUACGGGAGGCAGCAGUGGGGAAUAUUGGACAAUGGGCGCGAGCCUGAUCCAACCAUACCGCGUGGGUGAAGAAGGCCUUCGGGUUGUAAAGCCCGUUUGUUGGGAAAGAAAAGCAGCAGGUUAAUACCCCGCUGUUCUGACGGUACCCAAAGAAUAAGCACCGGCUAACUUCGUG